AACCUGAUUACGACACCAGGUGAAGGGAAACCGGUGAGAAUCCGGUGCGGUCCCGCCACUGUGAGUGGGGACGAAAUCCGCUUUGAGCCACUGGCAAAUGAGCCGGGAAGGCGCGGAAAGUAGGAUGAUCCACAAGCCAGGAGACCUGCCUGGUGUUAAGAUAGCAC
rnacentral:ncRNA from 1 species